rnacentral:rRNA from 1 species
UACAGAGGUCUCAACCGUUGUUCGGAUUCAUUGGGCGUAAAGGGUGCGUAGGCGGCGCGGUAAGUCGGGUGUGAAAUCUUGGAGCUUAACUCCGAAACUGCAUUCGAUACUGCCGUGCUUGAGGACUGGAGAGGAGACUGGAAUUCUCGGUGUAGCAGUGAAAUGCGUAGAUAUCGAGAGGAACACCAGUGGCGAAGGCGAGUCCCUGGACAACUCCUGACACUGAGGCACGAAAGCUAGGGGAGCAAACAGG